rnacentral:lncRNA from 1 species
AAGAUCUGAAAUUAGUUGUACCGAGUAUCUCGACUAGUCAUUUGAGAUGGCAGAAGAAGGGAAGUUCCGAAUUGAAAAUUCGAUGGUACAAAUUUCAGUUGGUGGAAAAUGAAAAUUGAGUAUUUGCGAGUUCAGUUACUGAGAACAUCAAUAUUCGAUCUUAGCCAGACUUAUGUCAGUGGGCAUUAAGUUCGAUGAUGAAGUUCAA